rnacentral:ncRNA from 3 species
GUGAACUGUCAUUUUGAGAAGUCAAAUGAAGGAGUAACGUCUGGAAGGGCUUCCCUUAAUCCUCCGACAUGCAGGAAAGUAAGCAAGUACUGAACUGUGUGAAGCUCGGUGAAGUCGGUUGAAGGUUACCGUAAAUUAGUAUCUCUAAUACGAAAGCUAUUCAGCGGUGGAUGGUGUAACUGAUAGACCGGAGGUCUAUAAA